rnacentral:rRNA from 1 species
CCUACGGGUGGCAGCAGUGAGGAAUAUUGGUCAAUGGCCGCAAGCCUGAACCAGCCAAGUCGCGUGAAGGAUGACGGUCCUAUGGGUUGUAAACCUCUUUUGUCAGGGAAUAAAGGGCGCCAUGUAUACCGCUUUGCAAGUACCUUAUGAAUAAGCAUCGGCUAACUCCGUGCCAGCAGCCGCGGUAAUACGGAGGAUGCGAGCGUUAUCCGGAUUUAUUGGGUUAAAAGGGGGCGUAGGCGGAAUGUCAAGUCAGCGGUAAAAUUUCGGGCCUCAACCUAGUAGUGCAGUUGAAACUGGGGUGCUUGAGUACAGUAGAGGUAUGCGGAAUGCGUGGUGUAGCGGUGAAAUGCUUAGAUAUCACGAAGAACUCCGAUUGCGAAGGCAGCCUACUGG